UACGGGGGGAGCAAGCGUUGUUCGGAUUUACUGGGCGUAAAGGGCGCGUAGGCGGCCACCGCAAGUCGACUGUGAAAUCUCCGGGCUUAACCCCGGAAAGGUCAGCCGAUACUGCGGGGCUAGAGUGCAGAAGGGGGCACUGGAAUUCUCGGUGUAGCGGUGAAAUGCGUAGAUAUCGAGAGGAACACCUGCGGCGAAGGCGGGUUGCUGGGCUGACACUGACGCUGAGGCGCGAAAGCUAGGGGAGCGAACGGG
rnacentral:rRNA from 1 species